CCCUUAGAUGUCCUGGGCCGCGCGCGCUACACUGACAUGUUCAACAAGCCUCCUAGUUCGACAGGAUUUGGGAAAUCUUUGAACGCAUGUCGUGAUAGGGAUAGAUCAUUGCAAUUAUUGAUCUUGAACGAGGAAUUCCUAGUAAACGCGAGUCAUCAGCUCGCAUUGAUUACGUCCCUGCCCUUUGUACACACCGUCCGUCGCACCUACCGAUUGAAUGUUUCGGUGAAGAUUCCGGAUAGGACUUUUUUGAUUUAUUUCAAUUUUGUCUUAAAAGCUAUCUAAACCUCAACAUUUAGAGGAAGGUGAAGUCGUAACA
rnacentral:rRNA from 1 species